rnacentral:rRNA from 1 species
GAUGAACGCUGGCGGCGUGCCUAAUACAUGCAAGUCGAGCGAACGGACGAGAAGCUUGCUUCUCUGAUGUUAGCGGCGGACGGGUGAGUAACACGUGGAUAACCUACCUAUAAGACUGGGAUAACUUCGGGAAACCGGAGCUAAUACCGGAUAAUAUUUUGAACCGCAUGGUUCAAAAGUGAAAGACGGUCUUGCUGUCACUUAUAGAUGGAUCCGCGCUGCAUUAGCUAGUUGGUAAGGUAACGGCUUACCAAGGCAACGAUGCAUAGCCGACCUGAGAGGGUGCUCGGCCACACUGGAACUGAGACACGGUCCAGACUCCUACGGGAGGCAGCAGUAGGGAAUCUUCAGCAAUGGGCGAAAGCCUGACGGAGCAACGCCGCGUGAGUGAUGAAGGUCUUCGGAUCGUAAAACUCUGUUAUUAGGGAAGAACAUAUGUGUAAGUAACUGUGCACAUCUUGACGGUACCUAAUCAGAAAGCCACGGCUAACUACGUG